UACGUAGGGGGCAAGCGUUGUCCGGAUUUAUUGGGCGUAAAGCGCUCGCAGGUGGUUCGUUGCGUCGUGCGUGAAAGCCCCCGGCUCAACUGGGGAGGGUCACUCGAUACUGAUCGACUCGAAGGCAGGAGAGGGAAGUGGAAUUCCCGGUGUAGUGGUGAAAUGCGUAGAUAUCUGGAGGAACACCGGUGGCGAAGGCGGCGUUCUGGACUGCAACUGACACUGAGGAACGAAAGCCAGGGGAGCAAACGGG
rnacentral:rRNA from 1 species